ensembl:lncRNA
AAAAUGUCCAAACUUGUUCUGAUGAAGAAGCAAACUCAUCUACAUCCUGGAUGGCCUGAAGAUACAAUCUUUGAGACAUGGUCCAGGAGCCCCUCCUACACAGCAAGAACCAACCAGAUCUACUUGUGUUAAAGCCUAGGUGGCACUGAUGUGCAGUCAAGACCUAUAAAGCUGCAGAGCUCACAGAUGAAUUCUCGCAUUCUGGCUUUACAGGAAGAGGCUCCAUUAUACAAGUUAUGAACUGGAAUCCCACUACAUCAUUCCCAGCUAAUUGGUCAUGUGCUAUUAUAAUAGGGCAUGAUUCUCUGUGGCGUUGGGGGUCCCACCUGACCCUGUAUGAGUGCUAAGGCCUGAGAAUUGGAUUACAGCUUAUCCAUAUCAGCAUCUGUAGCUUCCUAACAAAGCCUGUGGGCCCCUGGGCAUAUUUCAAGCAAGACAGAAUUCACCAAGGACACUCCUGACUGGAAAAGUGGAAUGGCAGAAGACUAUCCGUUGCCAUAAUCCUCUUUCCCUCAACACAUUACCUGAUGCACCAGCACAUCGACUGGCUAGCACUACCAACAGAAGCGAAAGAGGUAAGAAAUACUGUGUAGAAGUGCUACUCAGCCACACAACAAUAGGGUCAGAGUUUAUUUCCAGCCUGACAACAGAGACUCUCUAAAUCAGUGUGAUCACAACCUCACUGACAGGUUGUGACUAACCCAUGCAAUGUCCCUAAAUCACACACACACACACACACACACACACACACACACACACACACACACACACACACACACACACACACACACACACACACACACACACACACACACACACACACACACAUACUGGGCUCAGAACUCACUGAAUGCUUUUAUUUUUAGUGCAGUGAAUGAGGGCAAUUCAGGUCAAAGCUGCAAUACUAAAACUGAUUCCAUAUUAAUGUAUCACCAAUAUAUACUUAACAGCAAAUAACUGAUAUUUCAGAUGACGUCAACACCUGUGAAGUGUCAGCUUUGGCUUGACAUACAAAACAUGUCAUGUUAUCCUUAUAUUGUAAUUAUUACAAGCACAAGCUAUAAUCGCAAUGAACACAUGACGUUAACUAACCACAUAACAUGUUUUUUCUUAGGUGUAUAUUAAUGUUAUAUGGACAUUUUCACACACUCAUCUUUGGCUGAUGAAAGCAUAUUUUUGUCAUUGUUGCAUUGAAACAAGUAUUUUCUGUUAAGCUGUUAAUAUGUAUUGUAAAAAGCAUAUACAAAUACAAAUAAACUUGAAUUUAAU